rnacentral:misc_RNA from 1 species
AUUGGAUCCAGUUGAGUGUGAAAGAGGGAAGGGACUGAAGAGACCUCUGCUGCAUUAUCUAUUGAUCUUCUUCUUCUUCGAAUAACGUCUCAAGAGACAUGGACAAAGGAAAAGCUGUAAUGGGUUCGGGCCGUAGAUGGGCUGUCGAUUUCACUGACAAUUCAACAGCUCCUUCUUCUCGGGAAUUCCCCGAUCCUCCUGGUUUCUCUCGCGCUUCUCAAGAUCAGGACGAAUCCACUGUAACUAAGCAAAAAAAGGAUGCUGAAGCUAAUUGGAAAGCUCAGAAAGCUUGGGAAGUGGCACAAGCACCUUUCAAGAAUUUGCUGAUGAUGGGAUUCAUGAUGUGGAUGGCUGGAAGUACUGUGCAUCUUUUUAGCAUUGGUAUUACAUUUUC